CGGCAUGCCUAAGACAUGCAAGUCGAACGAGACGGCCCAUUGAAAAUGAAGUGCUGCACAGAUUUGGAUUUGGAUUCCCGUCUAGUGGCGCAAGGGUGAGUAAUACAUGGGUAAUCUGCCUUCGAGUUUGGAAUAACAAUUAGAAAUGAUUGCUAAUGCCGAAUUAUAUAUUUUUAGAUAAGUCUUUAAAUAUUAAAAGGAGCCUUUAAAGCUUCGCUUGAAGAUGAGCCCAUGCCGUAUUAGCUUGUUGGUGGGGCAAUGGCCUACCAAGGCAACGAUGCGUAGCCGACCUGAGAGGGUGAUCGGCCACACUGGGACUGAGACACGGCCCAGACUCCUACGGGAGACAGCAGUUAGGAAUAUUCGUCAAUGGGGGAAACCCUGAACGAGCAAUGCCGCGUGAAAGGAUGACGGUUCUAUGAAUUGUAAACUUCUGUUGUUAGGGAAGAACGACCUAUAUAGGAAAUGAUAUAGGAGUGACGGUACCUUUCAAGAAAGCUCCGGCUAACUACGUGCCAGCCGCUGC
rnacentral:rRNA from 1 species